GCCGAGGUGGCGGAACUGGCAGACGCACGGGACUCAAAAUCCCGCGAUAGCAAUAUCAUAAGGGUUCAACUCCCUUCCUCGGCACCA
rnacentral:tRNA from 3 species